rnacentral:lncRNA from 1 species
GAUGGCUGGCCUUACCAACAAAAUAUCUAGGAUUUCAAUUCCAUGGCUUUGAUACUACCUUCUAAUUGAUGAAUGGUAGUUUUUCAUUGAUUAUUUCAUUCGUUCAUGUACAGAGUAUAUAUAGAGGGUAAUCAUCAUUCUAAGAAUGGGAAAGAAUGAUACAAGGAAAGAAUGAUAGAAGGAAAGAACAACUAAUAUCUCAAUAUUCCUA